rnacentral:rRNA from 1 species
GAUGAACGCUGGCGGCGUGCCUAAUACAUGCAAGUCGAGCGAACGGACGAGAAGCUUGCUUCUCUGAUGUUAGCGGCGGACGGGUGAGUAACACGUGGAUAACCUACCUAUAAGACUGGGAUAACUUCGGGAAACCGGAGCUAAUACCGGAUAAUAUUUUGAACCGCAUGGUUCAAAAGUGAAAGACGGUCUUGCUGUCACUUAUAGAUGGAUCCGCGCUGCAUUAGCUAGUUGGUAAGGUAACGGCUUACCAAGGCAACGAUGCAUAGCCGACCUGAGAGGGUGAUCGGCCACACUGGAACGGAGACACGGUCCAGACUCCUACGGGAGGCAGCAGUAGGGAAUCUUCCGCAAUGGGCGAGAGCCUGACGGAGCAACGCCGCGUGAGUGAUGAAGGUCUUCGGAUCGUAAAACUCUGUUAUUAGGGAAGAACAUAUGUGUAAGUAACUGUGCACAUCUUGACGGUACCUAAUCAGAAAGCCACGGCUAACUACGUG